AAAGAGGAUCGCUGUGACAUAAAGUAUCAGUAGGGGGCGGUGCAGCCUACUCCUUGAAGCUUUUUCAUGAAUUGCUAAUGUUAUGUCCGCAGCCAGUUUAAGCCAAUGCUUGACUAGACUUGCCAGACUAGAUGUAGGCUUUUAUUGCAACAAUUUAGCUGUCGGGUCAUUUUCAUAAGGAACGUUUUUAUUGCAAAGAAACAUGUUAAUAAUACAAUAAUUGCGCUCCAAAGAUUGGCGCCUAUGGAAAUCAUCGGUUAUAAAUAGAAAAAAAGAAGAAGAACGGCCAUUUGCACCAGAUCAGCAUGGUGCACAGCAGGUAAACCAUUUUGCUAGCAACAGGCCGAUUUUUUUUAUUUAAAAUUGAAUUCGACGUUACCAUUUAUCGUAAAAUUUGAUAACGAUACAGGCAAUUCUGGUAAAAGGGGCAUUGGAAGACAAGAUGUGGCUCCAAUCUCUUCUCUCCCGCACCGACGGAGCCCAGUAAGCCCGCAGGCUGCUCUCGCAUCGGUGGCCUGUCACCGACAUUAUCUGGCGGCUCUCCAGGCCGGCGUCUGAGAGCCGACCUACAGCGGUGCUGCGAAGGCUGUGGUUUGUGUAGACCCUUGAAAGACCCACCUGAAAGCAUAUUUCCAAGAUAGUGGACACCCAUCGGCUCCCGGCUGUACCAAAUGUCGGAGGUCAUCAUGCCACGUUUUGGGUGGAGGUAGAACGAUUUCGCAUCAGAUGGACAUUUGGCAAUGUAUGCUUUAAAACUUUCGACUGGACACAGCGGAUCUCCGGGCCUGGCAAACAUAAAACCUCUCAGGUAUUCUUUGUCUGGGUCAUUGGGGUCUUUGUGGUUUUUCGUUUCAGGAUUGUAUGCCAGGCUGACAUACUCGACCCCAUCCUCGUCUCUCUGGACAAUGAAAGAUGCCCCUGACAACUCCCGGUUUCCCUCCCUGCCACGCCGAGCCAAACAUAGUUGCAAUCAAACCAGACUUUUCGGACCAAGCCACGGGGUGUAUCGGGAGACAGUGCUGGGGAAUUUCUCAUCUUCUCAAGGCUGGCAACGCUGUACUCCCCCCCUCCCUUGGCCUUGGUGGACUGGACAGAGGCGUAAAAUCCCCGCAGGGUCUCAUUCAGCAAGUCGGCGGUGUAGUUUUCAAAGUUGGUGUUCAUUUGUUUUUGUGAAAGGAAGUCCCUUAGUGUAUUAAUUGCCCAUUUCGUUGUUUUUUUUGUGUUCAUCUCGUCUUUGUCUUCUUCUAUCUGAUUUAAUUCUCCCGGUGUUAUCUCCUUGUGCCGUUUCUCCCGUUUCUCUUCAUUUUCUCUUUCUUGGGCUGCGUCCCAGUUAUCAAAGUUUUCAUAUUCUCCAAAUAAAUUAAACAAAAUGUUGAAGUCACUCAUUUUUGUAAUGUAGGCCAGAGUUUUAGUCGAGUCGAUAUGUUAGUAGAGUAGCUAAUUGUCAAUACAUUGUAAACGAAGGCUUGUAAACGGAAAUUGUUGCUAUGGUUACUCGUUUUAGACACAGGCUCAUGAUACUAUGUAGCCAGCGGAAUAAUU